rnacentral:misc_RNA from 1 species
AAAAAAAUCUGGCAGCCUCAAACUCAAGACGCUUUUUCUCUCCUCCAGCUUCAUGUUCAUGUGCCAAUGGCGUCCAUUUCCUCGGACCGUUACAGAGAGCUCUAUGUGUGAAAUUGUGCGAUGUAGCUCGUCUUAUGUUGUUGAAGUUUACUGAAAAUUCUUGUGGCUGAAAACAGUUUUCAUGCAUUACACGGUUACGUGUUUGUGAAGUGAGACAUCCUCCUGUUAUCUAAAUGCCGCUGUGUUGACUGAAAUCAAAAAAGAUGCCUGAAUUACCUCUAGAUGUGGCGGUUGCGAAUCGAUUUAUUUCGAGUUUGAGCAAAUCCUUGCAAGCUUUAUGUCAUGGCUGCAUGGAUUUUGAUUCGGGAAUUGAAAUUGUUGGCUAUAUCAAUGUUAACAUUGACUGUGGGAGCAAAGUGGACUAUGUGUUGAAUGAAAAAGUGCUCAAAAGCACCACAAAUUCCAUGACUUUCGUGAGCAAUAGCUUCUUAGCAAAAAAAGAUCAACCAAAACAGACACGCGACGGGUCAUGUUCCCCUGUUGCGGAAUUGCAAGUGCAGUCAUUCCCUUCAUCUAGUCGUCAUCGAGGUGCUCAUCCGUAUCCCGGUGCUCUACAUCACAGAUCUGCCUUUCCUUAUUCACAAACCCAUGCUUUACGCGGUGCUCAAAAGCGAGCAUGGAGUGGGAUGGAAAGAGACUGGAGGGCCUCUCCCAGGAAACAUUCUCGUGGGGGGAGAGGCUCUUACCCGUUACCUCAUGAACAGCCAUACGGUGGCAGCUCAUCGCAUACUUCCUCAUUUGAAACACAAUCUUCACAAGUUCCCAGUACAUCUGAUUCAUCAUUCCUUCAACCAGAAAUCCCUGUUUCAAAUAGUGGUGUAAAUAUUAAGAAAGAGUUAUUUGAUUCUGAAGACCAGAGUGGUGCAGGACAAAGUGAAGCUGGCGUGGCAGGAGAAAGUGAAGGUGGAAAUGGUGACAGUUCAUUAGACAGCAAACUCAAUAUUAAAGCAGACCCUGAUGCUGUGCCGGAAAGUGAAGGAGAUCCAUCUGCCGGGCCAUCAGAAGACGCAAACACUGACCUCAAAGACACUUUUCUUCAGCAGUCAGGUGAAGAUGCUGAGCAGCCAGAGCCUGGCGACUCAGCUCAAGAUGCAGAAGGUGAAUUUCCCUCGUUCGAUAUGGCUCAGUCCGAGUCAGCAGCUGACAAUGGUCAGACUAUGUCGGAAGAUACUACUGCUGGUGCUGAACAAACUGAUGAUAAUGUGACUGCUGAGAACUCAGAAGCGCCUGCUGAAUAUGAUGAGGCUGGGGACGACAUGUCUUAUCCCCAGUCUUCAUAUGCAGAGCAAGGCGAAGGUUCAGGUGAUGGUGGUCAGUUCGAGGUGAUCGAGAUCGAUGAUGAAGACGAAGAUGUUCAAGCUAUGUUUGGAGAUGCUCAAGCAUGGUGUUACAUUCCAAGUCGAGAUGAGGCUGAAUCGUCAAAUAUGACCAACAGGCCAAUCGCAUCCUGUCGCUCGUACUCAGGUGCUCAAAUGCCUUCUUCGUUUAGAUCGGAAAAUGUCCGUGGGAUGCACCAAUCGCAAGCAGCUAUGCCAUACAGUGGUAGUGGUAGCUUCCAAGUUCAGUGUAGGAUUUGUGCUCAAGUAUUUUCUCACAGUACCAUCUUGAAGAGUCACAUUUAUGAGUGUCAUCCGCGUGAGGCGCAGAACGCAUUUCCGUAUGUGUGCAGCAUUUGCCAGAAAGGUUUCUUUUCCCACUCUGGACUGACACACCACAGUGAAAAACACUCGGCGAAAUUUGAGUGCUAUCUGUGCUCAAAGACGUUCAGCUACAGUCGCAACCUAAAAAGACACCAGGAAAUUAACCAUUCGCUAAAGGAGUGCCGAUACUGCAAAAGACUGUUUAAAGUUGGAGAGGAGUUGAAUCAUCAUGUGCUCUCUUGUUCUGGAGCAAACAGGUCAUAAAAGAAGCUAUUAAGGUGUGUUGAACUUGAAAUGUUUAUGUUACUUUGACAAUUUGUAUGUUUUUGUGUUUGUUGGCCUGUGGGACUCCCUUGGAAAGAGAAAGUGUUAGUUUUUCCUGUAUGGACAGGUACUUUUUGCCUACAGACUCUUCUUUCAGGACUUCUGCUUUUGUACUUUCUCUGGGGAUUUUUUGGUCCUUUAGGUUUUGCGCAAGUAGACUUGUAAGAAUGGUGAUGAAAUGGCAGUCAGGUGGAUAUUGGUAGUUUUUACACUGGUUUAUUUGUGCAUCGUGCGCUGUCUCAGGGCUUUUCAGUUUUCAGUAUGGUCAGUAAAUCAAGUCAAAUUUUUAGUUUGUCCAUGCCAUAAAAAAUUUGUCUGCAAAGUAAGCAUUAAAAAGUAUUGAUACUUGUUGUCAUAUGUUUUGCAGCUUCUGUUAUCCAUUAAAUUAAUUUAUUUCCAAGCAUGAGCGGUUUUGACCCAAUCCUCAGCGAGAACUUUUAUUUG